rnacentral:rRNA from 1 species
UAAAAGCUCGUAGUUGGAUAUCUGGUGUGACUGAUCGGUCUGCCCCAUUGUGGGUGUGUACCAGUGUCGUCUCUUGCCAUCCUUGAGGAGAGCGUCUCUGGCAUUAAUUUGUCGGAGUCGGGACCCUCAUCCUUUACUGUGAAAAAAUUAGAGUGUUUAAAGCAGGCUUAGGCCGUUGAAUACUUUACCUUGGAAUAGUAAGAUAGGACUUGGGUGUAUCUAUUUGGUUGGUCGGCACACCGUGGUAAUGAUUAGUAGGGACAGUGGGGGGUAUCCGUAUUUCGUAGUCAGAGGUGAAAUUCUUGGAUUUACGAAAGACGAACUACUGCGAAAGCAUUUACCAAGGAUGUUUUCAUUAAUCAAGAACGAAAGUGAGGGGAUCGAAGAUGAUUAGAUACCAUCGUAUUCUUAACCAUAAACUAUGCCGACUAGGGAUUGGCGGUCGUUACUUUUAUGACUCCGCCAGCACCUUAUGAGAAAUCAAACUCUUUGGGUUCCGGGGGGAGUAUGGUCGCAAGGCUGAAACUU